AUGCUGCCGUGCUGGCUCCAGAUGACAGAAGCAGAUCGCCUGCAGGGCUUCCCAAAAAUUCACAAAGAAAGAAAGACAGAUGGGCCAGGCAGGAACGCCCAGAGGACAAUUAGAGGAGAAAGAAGCCCGCGGGAGCAGCUCGGUACAUACCUGGGGAAAAGUUGCAGGCGGUCCUUCUCAGCUGUGUGCCUUCUCCGACAGGUUUCGGCCCCAUUGAGGAGGUCUACUGUCAUAAACGUAGGAAAGUUCUCAUCCCACUCAAUGACAAUCUGUCUCCAGUUCUGUCUCCUUCACACAGCCUGCCUCAAACUCUAGUCAACACCAGUCUUUCCCCUUGCUGAAGGUUCAGAUCCCAGCUUGGCUGGAUUAAGCAUUUGUUAUAGGUCUGUAUACUCUGGGACAUGUCGUGUUACUGUUUUAAGAUUUGUUUUACAAUUUUGUGUGUGUGUAAGUCUUGAAUUUAUAGAACUAUAAACACCUGGAGGUCAAAUUCAUACUUAUUUUGAUUUCUUCCCUUGUCUCCAGCAGGAUGUAAGGUAUACAGUAAGCUCCUAAUAAAUGUUUGUUAAAUCAAAUUGUAUAAAGAGGU
rnacentral:lncRNA from 1 species